rnacentral:rRNA from 1 species
UUGGAGGGCAAGUCUGGUGCCAGCAGCCGCGGUAAUUCCAGCUCCAAUAGCGUAUAUUAAAGUUGUUGCAGUUAAAAAGCUCGUAGUUGAAUUUCGGGGUCAGUAGGUUGGUCAUGCCACAGGUACGUACUGAUCUUACUGAUUCCUCCUUCCUGAUGAACCGUAAUGCCAUUAAUUUGGUGUUGCGGGGAAACUGGACUGUUACUUUGAAAAAAUUAGAGUGUUUAAAGCAGGCUAACGCUUGAAUACAUUAGCAUGGAAUAAUGAAAUAGGACGUUCGAUUCUAUUUUGUUGGUUUCUAGGAUUGACGUAAUGAUUAAUAGGGAUAGUUGGGGGCAUUAGUAUUCAAUUGUCAGAGGUGAAAUUCUUGGAUUUAUUGAAGACUAACUACUGCGAAAGCAUUUGCCAAGGAUGUUUUCAUUAAUCAAGAACGAAAGUUAGGGGAUCGAAGACGAUCAGAUACCGUCGUAGUCUUAACCAUAAACUAUGCCGACUAGGGAUCGGAUGAUGUUAAUUUUUUAAUGACUCAUUCGGCGCCUUACGGGAAAC